ACGGGUGAAUAAUGUAUAGCUAAUCUGCCCUACACUAGGAACACAACAGUUGGAGCGGCUGCUAAUACUCUGUACUCCUGCCUUACCUAGGUUAAAUAGGGAAAGUUUUUCCGUGUAGGAUGAGGCUAUAUUGUAUCAGCUAGAUGGUGAGGUAAUGGCUCACCAAGGCUAUGACGCAUAACUGGUCUGACAGGAUGAUCAGGAUGACUGGAACUGAGACACGGUCCCAACUCCUACGGUAGGCAGGGAGGCGGAAUAUUGCUCUCUGGGGGAAAGCCUGAAACACCGACGCCGCGUGGACGAUGACACUUUUCAGAUCGUCAACUCCUUUUGUUAUGGAAGAAUAAUGACGGUACCUAGCGAAUAAACGCCCCUUAACUCCGUGCCACCAACCACGAUAAUACGGAUGGUGCAAUGGUUACUCGCAAUCACUGGGCGUAAAGGACGCGUAUGCGGAUUAUCAAGUCUCUUGUGAAAUCCUAUGGCUUAACCAUAAAACUGCUUGGGAAACUGGUAAUCUAGCCCCUGGGAGAGGCAGAUGGAAUUGGUGGUGUAGGCGUAAAAUCCGUAGAGAUCACCAGGAAUACCCAUUGCUGCGGCGAUCUGCUGAAAAUCACCUGACGCUAAUGCGUGUAUGCGUGCGGAGCCUGACAGAGUAGAUCCCCUGCUAGUCCA
rnacentral:rRNA from 1 species